rnacentral:misc_RNA from 1 species
GAUGAUUCCUGGCCUUUUAAACAUUGUAUUAGAGGAGACAGAUUGUUGGCCUCUAUUUCGUACAACGGCAGUAUUAUGUAUACUGACUGGCUGCCGUGAAACUGAGUGAGGCAGGAAUCCAUUUCUACCCUGAGCACAUCCUGGUCGUCUGUUUCUACUCUGGCUUAUAAAAUUUGGAGCAUUCAAUCGGGCAGAGGAGCAAGCACGAAUUGCAGUGGGCCUGGAGAUCUGAUUUUGUGUCACUGAGUUGGGUGCCAAUUGUAUAAUAUCAAGGGGUGCAACUUGGUUAAAUUGGGGUGCUGCCACAGGAAGCCGAGCAUCAGGAAAUUUUGAAACUAGUACUGAAGCAUUUUUCCCUAGCCUGAAACUUUGCCGCUGACUUUUCCAUAUCUCCUGUUUAUCAGUGGCAUGGCAGUGGUCAACAAUGGAGACACCUGUACCCCAGUGAGCACAUGGCGCAAUUGAGUCACAGACAUAACAGUGGCACAAAUCACAGUGUCU